GCUGUGAUGGCUGAGUGGCUAAGGUGUUAGACUAGAAAUCCAAUAGGUUUUCCCUGCAAUGGUUCAAAUCCUGCUCACAGCG
rnacentral:tRNA from 1 species